rnacentral:misc_RNA from 1 species
AACGCACAUUGCACCUCCCGUGAGGGAGGUAUGCCUGUCUGAGCGUCAUUAAAACCAAUAAAUCCAAGGAUUUGUGCUGGGCUCCGCAUGAAUGCGUUGCCUUGAAACCAUGGCCUAGCCUGUGGACGAGCUCCAGUCGGACCUGCCAUGGGCUUGAGACCAUCUGAAUUUGACCUCAGAUCAGGUAGGGAGACCGCCUGAACUUAA